UAAUGUUGUUGUAAAAAUUUUGGUAUUGCAUAUCAAUUAUAAAAAAUUUUGUAAUUAACAAAAAAUAAAAAUAAAAGGUAGAAAUUAUUGUAGUUUUAUUGUUUCACAAUAAAAAAAAGAUAAUUUAGGGUUGAAAAGUCGACUUUUAUAAUAUUUGUUUUUAUUAAUUUUAUUAGAAAAUUAUAAUAUUAAAAAUAUUAAUAAAGUAAAUUUAUAAGUUAAAGUAUUAGAUUUUUUAGUUUUAUAACUGUUUAUUUUUAUAUUUUAUAGUCAAAAAAAUUAAUUAUUAAAUUUUUAAUGAUUAUAGUAUUGUAAUAUAAGUAAAAAUUUAAAAGUUUUUUUUUAGUAAAUUUAAUAAAAAAAUUAAAAAUUUAAUCAAAUGUUUUUUAAAGACUUAGACUUUAAUUUAAAGUUUGCUUCUGCCCUAUGAUUAAUUUAAAUGGCAGUCUUAGCGUGAGGACAUUAAGGUAGCAAAAUAAUUUGUGCUUUUAUUAAGUUCCAGUAUGAAUGAAGUUAUUGGUUAAUUUUUUUUUAUUUUUUAUUGAACUUUUUUUUAUAUAAAAAAUUAUAAAUAUAAUUAUACAAAGAUAAGUCUUUGGAAAUUUUUUUAAAUUAUUAAUAUAAUUAAUAAUUUUAAGUUUUCUAGGGCAGAGUUUUAUUUAAUUUUUGUUUCUAUUGAUAAGUUAAAAAAUUACUCCAGAGUUAACAGAAAAUCAUACUUAAUCUAGUUCUUAUAGUAAAGUAAGUUUUACAUCGAUGUUGUAUUUAAGUAAAUUAAAAAAGGAGAAAAUUUAAUUGUUUAGACUGUUCUUCUAUUAAUUAACUUAACGUGAUAUUAGUUUAAUUCAUUGUAAGAUAGAAUUGUUUAUCUUGUUAAUUAAAAAAUUUAAAUAUUAUUAGUACGAAAGGAAAAUUGUAAAAGUUUUAAACUUUUUAAGAUUAAAUCUUC
rnacentral:rRNA from 1 species